rnacentral:rRNA from 1 species
AGUGAACGCUGGCGGUAGGCCUAACACAUGCAAGUCGAACGGCAGCACAGUAAGAGCUUGCUCUUACGGGUGGCGAGUGGCGGACGGGUGAGGAAUACAUCGGAAUCUACUUUUUCGUGGGGGAUAACGUAGGGAAACUUACGCUAAUACCGCAUACGACCUACGGGUGAAAGCAGGGGAUCUUCUGACCUUGCGCGAUUGAAUGAGCCGAUGUCGGAUUAGCUAGUUGGCGGGGUAAAGGCCCACCAAGGCGACGAUCCGUAGCUGGUCUGAGAGGCUGGUCAGCCACACUGGAACUGAGACACGGUCCAGACUCCUACGGGAGGCAGCAGUGGGGAAUAUUAGACAAUGGGCGCAAGCCUGAUCCAGCCAUACCGCGUGGGUGAAGAAGGCCUUCGGGUUGUAAAGCCCUUUUGUUGGGAAAGAAAAGCAGCAGGUUAAUACCCCGCUGUUCUGACGGUACCCAAAGAAUAAGCACCGGCUAACUUCGUG